rnacentral:rRNA from 1 species
CAGUCGCCACGGGAAUACGUAGGUGGCAAGCGUUGUCCGGAAUUAUUGGGCGUAAAGGGCUCGCAGGCGGUUUCUUAAGUCUGAUGUGAAAGCCCCCGGCUCAACCGGGGAGGGUCAUUGGAAACUGGGAAACUUGAGUGCAGAAGAGGAGAGUGGAAUUCCACGUGUAGCGGUGAAAUGCGUAGAGAUGUGGAGGAACACCAGUGGCGAAGGCGACUCUCUGGUCUGUAACUGACGCUGAGGAGCGAAAGCGUGGGGAGCGAACAGGAUUAGAUACCCGCGUAGUCCCUGUCUCUUAUAC